GAUUAGCCAUGCAUGUCUAAGUACAUGCCGUAUUAAGGCGAAACCGCGAAUGGCUCAUUAAAUCAGUCAUGGUUCCUUGGAUCGUACCUUACUACUUGGAUAACUGUGGCAAUUCUAGAGCUAAUACAUGCAGCAGAGCUCCGACCUUCGGGGACGAGCGCUUUUAUUAGACCAAAACCAAUCGGACCUCGUGUCCGUCCUUUGUGGUGACUCUGUAUAACUUUGGGCUGAUCGCACGGGCCUGUCCCGGCGACGUAUCUUUCAAGUGUCUGCCUUAUCAACUUUCGAUGGUAGGUUACGCGCCUACCAUGGUCGUAACGGGUAACGGGGAAUCAGGGUUCGAUUCCGGAGAGGGAGCCUGAGAAACGGCUACCACAUCCAAGGAAGGCAGCAGGCGCGCAAAUUACCCACUCCCAGAACGGGGAGGUAGUGACGAAAAAUAACAAUACGGGACUCUUUUGAGACCCCGUAAUUGGAAUGAGUACACUCUAAAUCCUUUAACGAGGAUCCAUUGGAGGGUAAGUCUGGUGCCAGCAACCGCGGUAAUUCCAGCUCCAAUAGCGUAUAUUAAAGUUGUUGCGGUUAAAAAGCUCGUAGUUGGAUCUCAGUUCCAGACGGGUGGUCCGCCUACCGGUGGUUACUGCCUGUUCUGAACAGUCAGCCGGUUUCUCUUGAUGAUCUUCACCGGUUGUCUUGGGUGACCGGCAAGUUUACUUUGAAAAAAUUAGAGUGCUCAAAGCAGGCGUGACGCCUGAAUAAUGGUGCAUGGAAUAAUGGAAUAGGACCUCGGUUCUAUUUUGUUGGUUUUCGGAACACGAGGUAAUGAUUAAGAGGGACAGACGGGGGCAUUCGUAUUGCGACGCUAGAGGUGAAAUUCUUGGACCGUCGCAAGACGAACUACUGCGAAAGCAUUUGCCAAGAAUGUUUCCAUUAAUCAAGAACGAAAGUUAGAGGUUCGAAGGCGAUCAGAUACCGCCCUAG
rnacentral:rRNA from 2 species